rnacentral:rRNA from 1 species
CGCUACCUGCAGUCGAGCGGCAGCGAGAUUAGUAGCAAUACUAAUUGUCGGCGAGCGGCGGACGGGUGAGUAAUACGUAGGAACCUGUCCUUCAGAGGGGGACAACCAAGGGAAACUUUGGCUAAUACCGCAUAAACUCGAAAGAGGAAAGCUGCCUGUUAAAGGGUGGCGCUGAAGGAGGGGCCUGCGUCCGAUUAGCUAGUUGGUGAGGUAAAGGCUCACCAAGGCGAUGAUCGGUAACUGGUCUGAGAGGACGACCAGUCACACUGGGACUGAGACACGGCCCAGACUCCUACGGGAGGCAGCAGUGGGGAAUAUUGGACAAUGGGGGCAACCCUGAUCCAGCGAUGCCGCGUGGGUGAAGAAGGCCUUCGGGUUGUAAAGCCCUUUAGGUUGGGAAGAAGGGUGUAAGAUGAAUAAUCUUAUACUUUGACGGUACCGACAGAAUAAGCACCGGCAAACUCUGUGCCAGCAGCCGCGGUAAUACAGAGGGUGCGAGCGUUAAUCGGAGUUACUGGGCGUAAAGGGCGCGUAGGCGGUGAGAUGAGUGUGAUGUGAAAGCCCCGGGCUUAACCUGGGAAGUGCAUCGCAAACGAUCUGACUGGAGUAUAUGAGAGGGUGGCGGAAUUUCCGGUGUAGCGGUGAAAUGCGUAAAGAUCGGAAGGAACGUCAAUGGCGAAGGCAGCCACCUGGCAUAAUACUGACGCUGAAGCGCGAAAGCGUGGGGAGCGAACAGGAUUAGAUACCCUGGUAGUCCACGCUGUAAACGAUGAGGACUAGAUGUUGGUUGGGGAACCAAUCACUAUCGAAGCUAACGCGAUAAGUCUUCCGCCCUGGGAAGUACGGCCGC